CCUACGGGAGGCAGCAGUGGGGAAUAUUGGGCAAUGGGCGCAAGCCUGACCCAGCAACGCCGCGUGAAGGAAGAAGGCUUUCGGGUUGUAAACUUCUUUUCUCAGGGACGAAGAAAGUGACGGUACCUGAGGAAUAAGCCACGGCUAACUACGUGCCAGCAGCCGCGGUAAUACGUAGGUGGCAAGCGUUAUCCGGAUUUAUUGGGUGUAAAGGGCGUGUAGGCGGGAGCGCAAGUCAGAUGUGAAAACUCAGGGCUGAACCCUGAGCCUGCAUUUGAAACUGUGUUUCUUGAGUGCUGGAGAGGCAAUCGGAAUUCCGUGUGUAGCGGUGAAAUGCGUAGAGAUACGGAGGAACACCAGUGGCGAAGGCGGAUUGCUGGACAGUAACUGACGCUGAGGCGCGAAAGCGUGGGGAGCAAACAGGAUUAGAUACCCGAGUAGUC
rnacentral:rRNA from 1 species